ACUCCUACGGGAGGCAGCAGUGGGGAAUAUUGCACAAUGGGCGCAAGCCUGAUGCAGCCAUGCCGCGUGUAUGAAGAAGGCCUUCGGGUUGUAAAGUACUUUCAGCAGUGAGGAAGGUGGAUAUGUUAAUAGCAUAUUCAUUUGACGUUAGCUGCAGAAGAAGCACCGGCUAACUCCGUGCCAGCAGCCGCGGUAAUACGGAGGGUGCGAGCGUUAAUCGGAAUUACUGGGCGUAAAGCGCAUGCAGGUGGUUUGUUAAGUCAGAUGUGAAAGCCCGGGGCUCAACCUCGGAAUUGCAUUUGAAACUGGCAAACUAGAGUACUGUAGAGGGGGUAGAAUUUCAGGUGUAGCGGUGAAAUGCGUAGAGAUCUGAAGG
rnacentral:rRNA from 1 species